rnacentral:lncRNA from 1 species
AUCAAGUAUGCAUUUAUUUUGUACAAAAUGCAUAUGAUAUUUUUAAUUAUAAUAUAAAUGUAUUGAAUGACUUUGGUCUCAUAAUUUUUCAUAAGACAUCAGUGGCGGAUCCAGAACUUUUCCUAAGGGGGGGCCCCACUCCAGUCAUGCUUCAAUGAUUCCCUACAUAAUGUAUAUAAUCAACCAAAUUUUUCCCACGAAAGGGAGGGCCCGGGCCCCCUAGAUCCGCCUAUGGACAUGACAAAAUACAAAUGAGCUGUCAGCAAAAUCUUGAAAUAUUAAAUACUGGGGUUUUAUUUUUAAUUGUUUGUUGGAUACCAAAGUUCAUGGAUUUUGUGGGUACAGGGAACCCAAAUGGUUUUUUCCCCUCUUUAAUGUAUUUUUUUUAAUUUUUCCUCUUAAAUAACAUCUAAAUUAACAUCUUCUUAACUAUCUAAUUUCUUAUUUAUUUAAGCAUUUAUAAUUAUCCAACAGUUGACAAAUAAACUUAACUUACAAAGAUGAAUAUGUUAUUGUUUGUUACUAAGUUACCAUGGUUACAGUUAUGCAUUUUGAGUGCUGUUUAUGUUAAAGAAGUUCAAGUGCCAUAAUAUUUUAUGAUGUAAAUUUUUAAUAGUUAGUGAUCAUGUAUAUAAUUAAGUGGUUUAUUAAGUACUUGUACAUGUUAAGUCUGGACAAAUCUUGUUAUGUGAGAUGCAAUAAAACUUAAAGAUAGAUGUUGAUUUACAUUUGUAUGUUCACUCAAUGUUAUGUAGUUGAUUUUUUUUUAUAACCU